AGUUGUUGCCAGGAGAAGAAAGGGCUGGAGGCCUGGCUUCCUGGAAGAGCAGCAGGGCCUGGGGGAGCAUUGAGGGAGCUCCUGGCUGCUUACUAGGACUGAGUAGGGACUGAGCCUGGGGAGGGCUGCAGGAAGUCAGUGUCUCCAGGCAGGAAGUCCUGGGAAUACAGUCUCAUACCAGGAUUGGACUACUGAAAGACCAAAGCCCAGGGAGGGCUAGAGAGAGACAGGCCCUGGUGGACCAUAUACCCCAGAAGGAGUUUGUGCUGAUUAACAGGCAGACUGUGACUCAGCUGGAGCACUAUGUCACUGACAAACCCACUUGAGAACCACCGAAAGGAGUCACCAGAACUAAAGAAUGCAGACAUGCUGAACCAGAAGGGGGCACUCGUAAGAGACACAGUGGACCUGGAGAAAGUGUAUGAGGUGUGGAAAAUAUGUCAAGAAUAAAAACACAAUCUAUUUUACAAACACCAUUGAAAAUGCACCUAGAGCUGUGAAAAGAUGAUGGAAAAUAAAGGAAAUUUUAAAUGAG